rnacentral:rRNA from 1 species
UACGGGGGGGGGCAAGCGUUGUUCGGAAUUACUGGGCGUAAAGGGCUCGUAGGCGGCCAACUAAGUCGGACGUGAAAUCCCUCGGCUUAACCGGGGAACUGCGUCCGAUACUGGAUGGCUUGAGUUCGGGAGAGGGAUGCGGAAUUCCAGGUGUAGCGGUGAAAUGCGUAGAUAUCUGGAGGAACACCGGUGGCGAAGGCGGCAUCCUGGACCGACACUGACGCUGAGGAGCGAAAGCCAGGGGAGCGAACAGG